AGUUGGAACUUACCUAAUAGAAGGUACCGAAUUAAUUCAUAAUGUACUCGAUUUGGCUCUGUCUGUUGGAUACAGGCUUAUAGAUACUGCUGCUUUUCAUGAAAAUGAAGAAGAUAUUGGAAAGGCUCUGAAAGUACUUCUUCCUAAACAUAACCUCACCAGAAAGGACAUUUUCAUCACAACCAAAUUAUGUAAGUUCUGAAAUAAAUAUAGGAUGUGAAUCUGAA